CAUUCAUAAUAAGUGUUUUAUGGCACUUUUUAAAUCCAUAUCCACCUUGUGUGCAAUGUCAGUCGAUCUUCUUCAUGGAGAUCGACCAAACAUCAACCUUUAUUUUUUAACUCUUUGUCUGAAAAAUAUUAUGAAUAAACAAUUCAAAAUACAACUUUCAACAACGGAUCUCUUGGCUCUCGCAUCGAUGAAGAACGCAGCGAAAUGCGAUACGUAAUGUGAAUUGCAGAAUUCAGUGAAUCAUCGAAUCUUUGAACGCAUAUUGCGCUCUUUGGUAUUCCGAAGAGCAUGCUUGUUUGAGUAUCAGUAAACACCUCAAAGCUUUUGGAUUUUUUAAUCGAAAAGCUUUGGACUUGAGCAAUCCCAACACCAAUCUUUUUGAGAUCGGUGGCGGGUUGCUUGAAAUGCAGGUGCAGCUGGACAUUCUCCUGAGCUAAAAGCAUAUUCAUUUAGUCCCGUCAAACGGAUUAUUACUUUUGCUGCAGCUAACAUAAAGGGAGUUUGACCGUAUUGGCUGACUGAUGCAGGAUUUCACAAGGGUCGGCAACGAUUCUUGUUAAACUCGAUCUCAAAUCAAGUAAGACUACCC
rnacentral:rRNA from 1 species